rnacentral:tRNA from 1 species
GCUGGCGUAGCUCAACAGGUAGAGCAGCUGAUUUGUAAUCAGCAGGUUGCGGGUUCAAGUCCCAUCGCCAGCU